UUGGGUUUCAGCCCUGCAUUCAGGUUCUUACUGUUGUAUUCAAUACCAAAACAUAGGUUCUCUAUCCAAGAGUUGUAAGGUCGCCCAAUAUUUAUUGAGCUUUUUAAUAGAUUCGGGAGACAAAUAAAGAUGAAUUUCUUGUCGUAUUUCUCUUUGUAAAUGAUUACUUUAAUCUCCUUUUAACAUAGUUAUUUCGAUUCUUGUUUCUUGCAUUAAUUCUAAAGUUUUUUCUAUUUGCUACGUGUUCGUAUUCACUAGUCGUAAAGAAACUAGUUUUACAAAGGGGUGUACCUGAGAUGAAGAGGUUACAUUGUUUUGCCUCUGAGCUUAUGUGUUCUCCAUUGAUCCUACUUGUCCCAUAGAUGAGAAAAAACCAUAGUUCUUUGUGCUUAUCCCUGCAUUUGCCAUUGACGGUACAAAGGUUUAUGUCUUGGAUGUUCGGGUAGACUAGUGAGGGGAUGUCGUUGUCAUUAGAUAGGUUUGGUUCAUGGAAAUGUACAUUGGUGUCUCCCAUGUUGGAAUGUGAAAAAACGAUAACCCAAGAAUUGGUAGUUCAUUGGUGGUUGAAGAGUUGUCGACAUUCAUAGAUGGUUGUUGUAAGUCUCCAUGGCUCUCCUUAUUUCGUCUGACACAAUUUGAUCUUUGAAAAAAAGAUUUUGUAUCACUAGCAUCAUUUCUUAAUUUUCCAUCAAGACAUGCAGUGUUAGAGAGUGACCUUGGAGACCCAAGAUGAAGGGUUCGUGUUGGGUACUACUUACUAGCGUUGUCAUGUAGAUGGGGGUUAUACCUGCAACCAAUCAACCCACUUGUAAUAAGAGAAUCGGUGGUAAAGUUUGUUUGGUUUGGAUUCAUAGUUGAUUGAGUGGGUAGAGAAGAGAUUGUUUGCUUUGGUCAAAGAUGAGAUCAUAUGGGUCUUCUGCUCAUUGAUAUUUAAAGGAGGCAAAUCAAUUGUGAUAAAAGUAGUAUUUAUUGUAGUUUUUAAUAUUCCUAGAAUGUUGGAACUAAGGGUAGAAGGAUUAACUGUCUGAACUAGUAGUAUUUAUUGUAGUUUUGAUGUUCUGACAUAUUGAAAGAAAAAAAGGACCAACUAUCAAGAAUAAGGUUAUGUAAUAGAUCUACCCUCUUUGUUUUGAGCAAAUAUAGAAGUGUGUCCACAUGAAGAAACUAUAGAGCUGACUUAUUCUAUUCAUUUUCUUUCCUUCCCAAGUUCUACAUGUAGUUGUCAUUCUUAAAUAGAGAUUUCAACUUAAAAUUUUUGAGUUUUGGCAGUUAAUCCUUCUACUCCUUGUUCUAACAUCCUAGGAAUAUUAAGAGCUACAAUAAAUAAUAUUCUAUUCUCAUAAAUUGUAUCGCAAUAGAUUUGCCUCAUUUAAAUAUCAAUGAUUAGAAGAUCCAUAUACUGACAAAAAGCGAACAACCUCUUCUCUACCCACUCAAUCAAUCAUGGAUCCAAACCAAACGAAUUUGACCACCAAUUCCCUUAAUACCAUUGGACAGAUUGGUUGAGCGUGCAACCUCCAUCUACGUGACGCCGUCAAUACCCAACACAAACCCAUCAUCUUGGGUCGAAAUGGGUCUCCAAGGCCACUCUCUAACACUGCAUGUCUUGAUAGAGAAUCAAGAAAUGAUGCUAGUGAUAAAAAAUCCUUCCUAGCUCAGAUUGUUUCGAAGAGGAUGAGGAGAGCCAUGGAGACUUACAACAGCCAUCUAUGGAUGUCGACAACCCUUCAGCCACCAACUCCUAAGGUUACUAUUUUUUCACAUUCCAACAUAGAAGACACCAUUGUACACUCCCAUGCACCAAACUCAUCCAAUAGCAAUGACAACCCCCCACCAAGCUAUCUGAACAUCCGAGACAUAGACCCAUUGUACUAUCACUAGUAAAUACAGUGACUAGCAUAGAGAACCGAGGUUUUUUACCCAACUAUGGGACAUGUGGGAUUAAUAGAGAGAGCACAUGAGCUCAGAUGCAAAACAACAUAGCCACAUUACCUUAGGUACACCCCUGUAAAACUAAUUUCAUUACGACAAUUCAUAUUCACUGGUCAUAAAGGAACUAGUUUUACAGGGAGGUGUACCUGAAUUGAGGAGGUUACAUUGUUUUGCCUCUAAGUUCAUGUGCUCUCAAUUGAUCACACUAGUCCUGUAGUUGGGAAAAAACCCUAGUUCCAUGUGCUUGCGCCUGCAUUUGCCAAUGAUGGUCCAAAUGAUCUAUGUUUUAGAUGUUCGGGUAGCUUAGUGGGGUGGGGGGGAGUCACUGCUAUUGGAUGGUUUUGGUGCAUGAGAGUGUACAGUGGUGUCUCCCAUGCUGGAAUGUGAAAGAAUGAUAACCCCGGGAGUUGGUGGCUAAAUGGUUGUCAACAUCCAUAGAUAAUUGUUGUAAAUCUCCAUGGCUCUCCUCAUCCCCCUCCAAAACAAUCUAAGCUAGGAAAGAUUUUGUAUCACUAGCAUCAAUUCUUGAUUCUCCAUCAAGACAUGCAGUGUUAAAGAGUGGCCUUGGAGACCCAUUUUGACCCAAGAUGACGGGUUUGUGUUAGGUAUUGGUGGCAUCGUGCAAAUGGGGGCUGCACCCGCAACCAAUCCGUCCACUAGUAUUAAGGGAAUUGUGGUAAAAUUCGUUUGGUUUGAAUUCAUGGUUGAUUGAGUUGGUAGAGAAGAGGUUGUUCGGUUUUGUCAGUGAUGAGAUUGUAUGAGUGUUCUUUUAAUUGAUAUUUUAUGGACGCAAAUCUAUUGUGAUAGAAUUUAUGGUAAUAAAAGUAGUAUUAAUUGUAGUUUUAAUAUUCCUAGAAUGUUGGGACUAGGAGUAGAAGGAUUAACCUAGUAGUGUUUAUUGUAGUUUUGAUUUUUUGACAUAAUGAAAGAAUAAAAGAGAGAAAGGAAGGACUAUCAGAUAGAAGAACAACACCGUCCAUGUAGUGACUACAUCUUGUAUAUAACUACUAGUAUAUCUUCAACUUAUAAGGUGCUCAAGGCAAUUUCUUUUUUUUGUACUAGGAGAUGUACGUAGACCUAACCCCUACUUUUGUGGAGUAGGAAGACUAUUUCAAUAGAUCCUCAACUCAAAAGAAAAGUUAUUGAAGCAUGCUUGAAAAAAGACACCAACUAAAGAUAGUACAAUCACGUAAGAAAAUCAUGAUAAUUUUACUCACUUAUUUGCUAAUACUUUGUUGUCUAGCAGGCUCAAAUGGUUAUUAAGUGCCAAAGGAAGUUCAAGUGAGUCGAGAGUAAGGAGAAAAAACAUAUUUCCCCAUCUGUCAGUGAGAUGUCUUAACUUUGGAAAUAUAUAUUGAAGAUCAAUUUGAAAAUGAGCAGUUUCCAUUCUCAUGAUGAUAAAAGUUAGGACCCAAAAAGUCCAGAAGUUACAUACAUUUUCCAAUUACUGAGAGUAUGAAGACUCCAUGCAACUUCAGACGUUUUAGUAACAUUAAGGAUCUAGUGCAAACUUCAAAGUUUACUAAAUGAUAGCAUACUUUUAUUCCCCAAUAGAUUUUGUCUUGCUGUUUACGGCCACCCAAUAUUAUCUACUUUCCUUAAAAGAUACUUCCCUUUAUAAUUCCUCCUUGAAUACAUUGGUGCAUAUGCUUAAUCAUGCAAUGCUGAGUUAAGAAGAGAAGUAAACUUUGAGAAAGGGAGAUAGAGUUUAAAGAAGAAAUAUAUCAGCCUAAUGUAAAGAACUUAGAAAAUAAAUGUGUCAGCCUAAUGUGAAGACUAUAAUAAUAAAAAGCACAAGAAGACACCACUAAAUAUAGUACAAUCAUGUAAAAAUCAUGAUAAUUUUACUCACUUAUUUGCUAAUACUUUGUUGUCUAGCAGGCUCAAAUAGUUAUUGUAAGUCCCAAAGGAAGUUCAAGUGAGUCAAGAGUAAGGAGAAUAAACAUAUUUUCCCAUCUGUCAGUGAGAUGGCUUAACUUAGGAAAUAUAAAUUGAAGAUCAAUUUGAAAAUGAGCAGUUUCCAUUCUCAUGACGAUAAAAGUCAGGACCCAAAAAGUUCAAAAGUUACAUACAUUUUCCAAUUACUGAGAGUAUGAAGACUCCAUGCAACUUCAGACUUUUUAGUAACAUUAAGGAUCUAGUGCAAACUGCAAAGACGUUUACUAAAUGAUAGCAUACUCUGCCUCCCCAAUAGAUUUUGUCUUACUCUUUUUCGGCCACCCAAUAUUAUCUACUUUCCUUAAAAGAUACUUCCUUUUAUAAUUCCUAUUUGAAUACAUUGGUACAUAUGUUUAAUCAUGCAAUGCGGAGUCAAGAAGAGAAGUGAACUUUGAGAAAAGGGAGAUAGAGUUUAAAGAAGAAAUAUAUAGGCCUAAUGUAAAGAACUCAGAAAAUAUGUGUGUGUCGGCCUAAUGUGAAGACUAUAAUAAUAAAAAGCACAACUAUGCAGCUAUAAGGAGGUGUAAUAGCACUUCUAGAAAUGUUCAGCCGUGAGGCCAGCUAAAUCUUCUAUGUGUACCAUCUUGCUGUCAAUCAUUGAUGGUAGAAUUUAAAUCACAGGCCUUUACAUUUUCAAUAAGAUUUCAGCUAUUCUAGAACAUUUGAAUGGUUCAAGUACCAAUACUUUUUUAAUCAGUACUCCACGUAUCUAUAUUUGUUUUGAUAAACAACAACAUACCCAGUGUAAUCCCACAAGUGGGGUCUGGGGAGGGUAGGAUGUACACAGACCUUACCCCUACCAUUGUGGGGUACAGAGGUUGUUUCCGAUAGACCCUCUGCUCAAAAGGAAUGUUAUUGACGCAUAUUUGCUUUGGUAUUCUCAACAAUUAUUAGACUACACAAUAUUCUGUGCACCAUCCCAUUAGGUGAAGAAAAUGUCUCUAGAGUGCAUGGAGGAAGCCAAGCAUUAAAAAUUGAAUGCCAAAUGAGACAACUAUUGAGUAUAAUUGUGCAAUCUCUAAAUAGAAGGUGCUUCACACAAUAGAAUGCAAACUAGAAAUGAUAACAAUAUCUUUAUAAAAAGUACACUGAAAUUAGCAAUACUACUAUUUCCCAUUCUUGGACUCAAAUUUAUAUCAAGAAUAGACAAAAAUCUUUUCCAGUCACAUGUAAAGGGAUUAAAGCUACAGUGCAAGGUGUUGGUUGAUAGGGUAUCGCGCAUAAAAAAAUUAGUCUUACUUGCUGAUUGUCCGAUGGAUGUUUCAAUCAUGAGCAUUGGCUUAACAUAUGAUUCAGCAAUUGGGUGUGGCUCAGCCUCCCAACUCAGGAACUUCUGAACUCCACUGUCCUUUGGUUGGCCUGAGUCUAUCUGUUUUGUGUCAAUAGGCUCCUCAUAAGGAACCAAUUUUUGAUCAGGAACCUCAACUACAACUUUUGUAGAUUGUUGCCAAUAGUCAUAUCCAGAAUGACUAGUCUUGCGAGAUCCAACAACUUGACUGCUCUGCCCAGUCUUCGGCCUGUUAGAUGUUGGGCUUGCUAUCCAUUUUUGCACAUCAUCCCAUUUGGAAGGGGCAGGUUUUGAGGAAUGAGCUAGGGGCGCUCUCUGUGCAGCCCGUUCAGCCUUUUGAAAUUCAAAGAGAGGAGAUACAGUACCAACACUAUCGAUUCCACCAUCACAGUCCAAACUACUGUCAUCUUGAGACCUAUUUCUGGUACUAACCAAAGAUUGAUUUUUGAUUCUCAUGUCAUUAAUCAUCUCCAAGGACAUUGACGAAUUAACUACUACGGAAGUCGAACUCUCAGGAACAACAAUAACAACAUUUAUAUAUAUGCAAUUCUCCAACUUACAACCUGGCAAGCAAAAAACAAGUACUUGCAUUCAAACUAACUUAGUGUGUAAACAAGGUAAGCAUUAAAGAAAGAAAUGAAGGUACCCCCUAAGUACAAAUCUCAUUGCGUAACAUACAAAACGCCAAUGCAUUACUAUACCAGAGUCAUGGAUCUCAGGCAAAUGGGAUCUCAAGGACACAGUAGCAGAUUCAAACUCUUGAUCUUCUACUAUAUCAUCCGUUCCUUCUUGUCUCCUCUUCUUUCCUGCUCCCAGUAGCAUAGACCUCCGCUUUCUAGGAGAUAGCUAUAACAAAACAAACAAAAUGGAAGGGGAAAAAAAGCUUAAUUUCCUAAAUGAGAAAUGGAGUUUACAUAUAAAGUGAUAGCUCUGUAUAACUAUGGCAGAUUCAAUGGAUCAAAAGUUGAUCUCUUUUUCAAACAAAAGGAGAAUAAUGCAAGAAGUAGAAAAAAACAAACAAAACCAACAAUAACUAAAGUAGGAAAAGCGCAAUUGUGAUGAAAACGAUAUAGCAAUGCGUCAUUCUCUCUACCUUUUUUUGCCUUGAAAAUCAAAACACACAUUUGGGAAAGAGAAAGUGAAAAAAAGUGCUUUCAACCCAGAUCACAAAGCGAAUAAAGAACCAAAUUAACAACUAGACAGUACAUUUGUACCCUAACCAUUAUCACUGAAUCUGUAAGAUUCUCAAGCUCACAAUGACAAUAUUGCCUUCGAAAAUUAAAACACCUAUUGGGGAAAGAAAGAGCGAAAAAAAUUCCUUUCAACCCAGAUCACAAAGCAUCAAGGAACCAAAUUAACAACUAAGCAGUACAUCAGCAUCAGUGUUUGUACCCUACUCCAUUGUCACUCAUAAUGUCAAUAUUGCCUAAAAAAAUAAAACUCACAUUGGGAAAGAAAAAAAAAAGACGAAACUUUUGCUCGGAUGAUAAGCACCUUCCACCUCCAACUCAAAGAAUGAGGGUUUGAGUCAUCAAGUAGCAAAAAAGGUGCAACCUCUUAGGGAGGGGUAAAAAAAAACCCAGAUCACAAAACCAGUAAAGAACCAAAUAAACAAUUAAGCAGUACAAAGCGCAUCAGGAUUUGUGCCCUUUACUCCAUUUGUCACUCACAAUGUCAAUUUUGUAUCACUAGCAUCAUUUCUUGAUUUUUCCAUCAAGACAUGCAGCAUUUGAAAGUUUUGACCAAAGAUGAAGGGUUCGUGUUAAGUACUGGCGGCAUAGUGUAGAUGGGGAUGGCACCCACAACCAAUUCGUCCACUGGUAUUAAAGGAAUUGGUGGUAAAGUUUGGAUUCAUGGUUGAUUGAGUGGGUAGAGAAGAGGCUGUUUGCUUUUGUCAAAGAUGAGAUCGUAUGGGUCUUCUGAUCAUUGAUAUUUAAAAAAAGCAAAUCUAUUGUGAUAGAAGUAGUAUUUAAUAUUCCUAGAAUGUUGGAAUUAUAAGUAGAAGGAUUAACGGCCUGAACUAGUAGUAUUUAUUGUAGUUUUCAUGUUCUGACAUAUUGAAAGAAUAAAAGAGAGAAAGGAAUGACCAACUAUCAUGAAUAAGGUCGUGUAAUAGAUCUACCCUCUCCUUUGUUUUGAGCAAAUGUAGAAGUGUGUCCAUAGGACGACACUAUGGAGCUGACUUAUUCUGUUCAUUUCUUUCCUUCCCAUGUUCUACGUUUAUUUGUCAUUCUUAAAUAGAGAUUUCUUUCACCUUUUAAUUUUUGGCAGGUUGGUAUCUUUUUCAUGAUUUUUUUAAACAAAAAUUGAGGAUGCUAUCGUGGUUAUAUACAAGAUGUAGUCACUAUAUGGAAGGUGAUGUUCUUCUAUCUGAUAGUUGGUCCUUCAUUUCUCUAUUUCAUUAUGUCAAAACAUCAAAACUACAAUAAGCACUACUAGGUUAAUCCUUCUACUCCUAGUCCGAACAUUCUAUGAAUAUUAAAAACUAAAUUAAUACUACUUUUAUUACCAUAAAUUCUAUCAUAAUAGAUUUGCGUCCUUUAAAUAUCAAUAAAAAGAACACUCAUACAAUCUUAUCUCCGACAAAAGCGAACAACUUCUUCUCUACCCACUCAAUCAACCAUGAAUUCAAACCAAACGAAUUUUACCACAAUUCCCUUAAUACCAAUGAAUGGAUUGGUUGCAGGUGCAACCCCCAUCUGCAUGACACUGCCAAUACCUAACACAAACCAUCAUCUUGGGUCAAAAUGGGUCUCCAAGGACACUCUCUAACACUGCAUGUCUUGAUGGAGAAUCAAGAAAUAAUGCUAGUGAUUCAAAAUCUUUCCUUUCUAGCUAAGAUUAUUUCAGAAGGGAUAAGGAGAGCCACAGAGAAUUACAAUAGUCAUCUAUGGAUGUCGACAACCCUUUAGCCACCAAUGAAUUACAAACUCCUGGGUUACUUAAAGAACAUUCCAUCAAGGGAGAUCAUUGUACACUCUCAUGCACUAAACUCAUCCAAUAGCAGUGAUAACUCGCAGCAACCUGAACAUCUAAGACAUAGACCCUUAUACCAUUACUGGCAAAUACAAGUACUAGAGCAGGGAGCUGGGUUUUUUCCCAACUACGGUUCCCUACGCUAGUACAUGCAUUUGCUAGUAAUGGUGCAAAGGGUUUAUGUCUUGGAUGUUCAGGUAGCCUGGUAGAGGGGUUGUCACUACAAUUAGAUGGGUUUGGUGCAUGGGAGUGCAUAGUGGUGUCUCCCUUGUUGGAAUGUUAAAGAACAAUAACCCCGAGAGCUGGAAGUUUAUUGGUGGCUGAAGGGUUGUCGACAUCCAUAGAUGACUAUUGUAAUUCUCUGUGGCUCUCCUUAUCCCUUCUGAAAUAAUCUUAGCUAGAAAGGAAAGAUUUUGAAUCACUAGCAUUAUUUCUUGAUUCUCCAUCAAGACAUGCAGUGUUAGAGAGUGUCCUUGGAGACCCAUUUUGACCCAAGAUGAUGGUUUGUGUUAGGUAUUGGCAGUGUCAUGCAGAUGGGGGUUGCACCUGCAACCAAUCCAUUCAUUGGUAUUAAGGGAAUUGUGGUAAAAUUCGUUUGGUUUGAAUUCAUGGUUGAUUGAGUGGGUAGAGAAGAAGUUGUUCGCUUUUGUCGGAGAUAAGAUUGUAUGAGUGUUCUUUUUAUUGAUAUUUAAAGGACGCAAAUCUAUUAUGAUAGAAUUUAUGGUAAUAAAAGUAGUAUUAAUUUAGUUUUUAAUAUUCAUAGAAUGUUCGGACUAGGAGUAGAAGGAUUAACCUAGUAGUGCUUAUUGUAGUUUUGAUGUUUUGACAUAAUGAAAUAGAGAAAUGAAGGACCAACUAUCAGAUAGAAGAACAUCACCUUCCAUAUAGUGACUACAUCUUGUAUAUAACCACGAUAGCAUCCUCAAUUUUUGUUUAAAAAAAUCAUGAAAAAGAUACCAACAUUUUUGUCAUAUUGUAUUCAUAGAGUGCAACAAGUAUAUCAACUUAGGGGUCGUUUGGUAGUUGACUAGAGUUGUACAUGUAGUAGUAACGAAAAAAGGUCAUAUUCUCCCUCGUACUCUCACAAAUAAGUCAUAUUUUCCCUUCGUUACUUUUUCAACAAAUUUGUCCUUUUCAUCCAACUUUAGGGUCAUAUUUGCCCCUGUAUUCUCAAAAAGGGUCAUAUUUACCCCUACGACGUUAAAUCUUCAUGUAUUCAAUAUAUUUGCCCUUUUCUUCCAACUUUAGGACCAUAUUUGCCCUUAUACUAUAAAAAAGAUCAUAUUUGUCAUUCUUAAAUAGAGAUUUCACCUUUUAAUUUUUGAGUUCAGGCAAUUAAUUUUUCUACUCCUAGUUCCAACAUCCUAGGAAUAUUAAGAGUUACAAGAAAUACUAUUUCUAUUCCCAUAAAUUCAAUCACAAUAGAUUUGCCUCCUUUAAAAAUCAAUGACUAGAAGAUCCAUACAAUCUCAUUUUUGACAAAAGCGAAAAACCUCCUCUCUAUCACUCAGUCAAUCAUGGAUCCAAGCCAUACAAACCUUACCACCAACUCCCAUAAUACCAGUGGACGGAUUGGUUGCGGGUGCAACCCCCAUCUACAUGACGUCGCCAAUACCCAAAACAAACCCAGGGUCGAAAUGGGUCUCCAAGGCCACUCUCUCACAGUGCAUGUCUUAAUAGAGAAUCAAGAAAUAUGCUAGUGAUACAAAUUCUUCCUUCAUAGCCUAGAUUGUUUCGAAAGAGAUGAGUAGAGCCAUGGAGUUUUACAACAGUCAUCUAUGGAUGUCGACAACCUUGUAGCCACCAAUGAAUUACAAACUCCUGGGUUACUUAAAGAACAUUCCAUCAAGGGAGACCAUACACUCUCAUGCACUAAACUCAUCCAAUAGCAGUGAUAACUCCCCUACCAGGCUACUUGAACAUCCAAGACAUAGACCCUUAUACCAUUACUGGCAAAUACAGGGACUAGCAUAGGGAGCUAGGUUUUUUCCCAACUACAGUUCCCUCUGUUAGUCCGUGCAUUUGCUAGUAAUGGUGAAAAGGGUCUAUGUCUUGGAUGUUCAAGUAGCUGCGUAGAGGGACUGUCACUGCAAUUGGAUGGGUUUGGUGCAUGGGAGUGCACAGUGAUGUCUCCCUUGUUGGAAUGUUAAAGAACAAUAACUCUGGGAGCUGGUAGUUUAUUGGUGCUGAAGGGUUGUUGACAUCCAUAGAUGGCUGUUGUAAGUUUCCAUGGCUCUCCUCAUCCCUACCGAAAUAAUCUGAGCUAGAAUGGAAAGCUUUUGUAUAACUAGCAUUAUUUCUUGAUUCUCCAUCAAGACAUGCAGUGUUAGAGAGUGUCCUUGGAGACCCAUUUUGACCCAAGAUGAUGGGUUUGUGUUAGGUAUUGGAAGCGUCAUGCAGAUGGGGGUUGCACCUGCAACCAAUCCGUCCAUUUGUAUUAAAGGAAUUGUGGUAAAAUUUGUUUGGUUUGAAUUCAUGGUUGAUUGAGUGGGUAGAGAAGAAGUUGUUCGCUUUUGUCGGAGAUAAGAUUGUAUGAGUGUUCUUUUUAUUGAUAUUUAAAGGACGCAAAUCUAUUAUGAUAGAAUUUAUGGUAAUAAAAGUAGUAUUAAUUGUAGUUUUUAAUAUUCCUAGAAUGUUCGAACUAGGAGUAGAAGGAUUAACCUAGUAGUGCUUAUUGUAGUUUUGAUGUUUUGACAUAAUGAAGGAAUGAAAGAAUGAAAGAGAGAAAUGAAGGACCAACUAUCAGAUAGAAGAACAUCACCUUCCAUAUAGUGACUACAUCUUGUAUAUAACCACGAUAGCAUCCUCAAUUUUUGUUUAAAAAAAUCAUGAAAAAGAUACCAACAUUUUUGUCAUAUUGUAUUCAUAGAGUGCAACAAGUAUAUCAACUUACGGGUCGUUUGGUAGUUGACUAGAGUUAUACAUGUAUUAGUAACGAAAAAGGGUCAUAUUUGCCCUUGUACUCUCAUAAAUAAGUCAUAUUUUCCCUUCAUUACUUUUUCAACAAAUUUGUCCUUUUCAUCCAACUUUAGGGUCAUAUUUGCCCUUGUAUUCUCAAAAAGGGUCAUAUUUACCCCUACAACGUUCAAUAUUCAUGUAAAUAUAUUUGCCCUUUUCUUCCUACUUUAGGACCAUAUUUACCCUUAUACUAUAAAAAAUGUCAUUCUUAAAUAGAGAUUUCUUUCACCUUUUAAUUUUUGGCAAGCAAGAAGUAGAAAAAAACAAACAAAACCAACAAUAACUAAAGUAGGAAAAGCGCAAUUGUGAUGAAAACGAUAUAGCAAUGCGUCAUUCUCUCUACCUUUUUUUGCCUUGAAAAUCAAAACACACAUUUGGGAAAGAGAAAGUGAAAAAAAGUGCUUUCAACCCAGAUCACAAAGCGAAUAAAGAACCAAAUUAACAACUAGACAGUACAUUUGUACCCUAACCAUUAUCACUGAAUCUGUAAGAUUCUCAAGCUCACAAUGACAAUAUUGCCUUCGAAAAUUAAAACACCUAUUGGGGAAAGAAAGAGCGAAAAAAAUUCCUUUCAACCCAGAUCACAAAGCAUCAAGGAACCAAAUUAACAACUAAGCAGUACAUCAGCAUCAGUGUUUGUACCCUACUCCAUUGUCACUCAUAAUGUCAAUAUUGCCUAAAAAAAUAAAACUCACAUUGGGAAAGAAAAAAAAAAGACGAAACUUUUGCUCGGAUGAUAAGCACCUUCCACCUCCAACUCAAAGAAUGAGGGUUUGAGUCAUCAAGUAGCAAAAAAGGUGCAACCUCUUAGGGAGGGGUAAAAAAAAACCCAGAUCACAAAACCAGUAAAGAACCAAAUAAACAAUUAAGCAGUACAAAGCGCAUCAGGAUUUGUGCCCUUUACUCCAUUUGUCACUCACAAUGUCAAUUUUGUAUCACUAGCAUCAUUUCUUGAUUUUUCCAUCAAGACAUGCAGCAUUUGAAAGUUUUGACCAAAGAUGAAGGGUUCGUGUUAAGUACUGGCGGCAUAGUGUAGAUGGGGAUGGCACCCACAACCAAUUCGUCCACUGGUAUUAAAGGAAUUGGUGGUAAAGUUUGGAUUCAUGGUUGAUUGAGUGGGUAGAGAAGAGGCUGUUUGCUUUUGUCAAAGAUGAGAUCGUAUGGGUCUUCUGAUCAUUGAUAUUUAAAAAAAGCAAAUCUAUUGUGAUAGAAGUAGUAUUUAAUAUUCCUAGAAUGUUGGAAUUAUAAGUAGAAGGAUUAACGGCCUGAACUAGUAGUAUUUAUUGUAGUUUUCAUGUUCUGACAUAUUGAAAGAAUAAAAGAGAGAAAGGAAUGACCAACUAUCAUGAAUAAGGUCGUGUAAUAGAUCUACCCUCUCCUUUGUUUUGAGCAAAUGUAGAAGUGUGUCCAUAGGACGACACUAUGGAGCUGACUUAUUCUGUUCAUUUCUUUCCUUCCCAUGUUCUACGUUUAUUUGUCAUUCUUAAAUAGAGAUUUCUUUCACCUUUUAAUUUUUGGCAAUUAAUCCUUUUACUCGUAGUUCCAACAUCCUAGGAAUAUUAAGAGUUGCAAGAAAUACUAUUUCUAUUCCCAUUAAUUCAAUCACAAUAGAUUUGCCUCCUUUAAAUAUCAAUGACCAGAAGAUCCAUACAAUCUCAUUUUUGACAAAAGCGAAAAACCUCCUCUCUAUCACUCAGUCAAUCAUGGAUCCAAGCCAUACAAACCUUACCACCAACUCCCAUAAUACCAGUGGACGGAUUGGUUGCGGGUGCAACCCCCAUCUACAUGACGUCGCCAAUACCCAAAACAAACCCAGGGUCGAAAUGGGUCUCCAAGGCCACUCUCUCACAGUGCAUGUCUUAAUAGAGAAUCAAGAAAUAUGCUAGUGAUACAAAUUCUUCCUUCCUAGCUCAGAUUGUUUCGAAAGGGAUGAGUAGAGCCAUGGAGUUUUACAACAGUCAUCUAUGGAUGUCGACAACCCUUUAGCCACCAAUGAAUUACAAACUCCUGGGUUACUUAAAGAACAUUCCAUCAAGGGAGACCAUUGUACACUCUCAUGCACUAACUCAUCCAAUAGCAGUGAUAACUCGCAGCAACCUGAACAUCUAAGACAUAGACCCUUAUACCAUUACUGGCAAAUACAGGUACUAGCGCAGAGAACUGGGUUUUUUCCCAACUAUGGUUCCCUGCGCUAGUCCGUGCAUUUGCUAGUAAUGGUGCAAAGGGUCUAUGUCUUGGAUGUUCAGGUAGCCUGAUAGAGGGGUUGUCACUACAAUUGGAUGGGUUUGGUGCAUGAGAGUGCACAGUGGUGUCUCCCUUGUUGGAAUGUUAAAGAACAAUAAGUCCCCGGGAGCUGGUAGUUUAUUGGUGGCCGAAGGAUUGUCGACAGCCAUAGAUGGCUGUUGUAAGUCUCCAUGGCUCGCCUCAUCCCUUCCGAAAUAAUCUAAGCUAGAAUGGAAAGCUUUUGUAUCACUAGCAUUAUUUCUUGAUUCUCCAUCAAGACAUGUAGUGUUAGAGAGUG
rnacentral:lncRNA from 1 species